ACUCCUACGGGAGGCAGCAGUAGGGAAUAUUGCGCAAUGGGGGAAACCCUGACGCAGCAACACCACGUGAGUGAGGAAGGCCUUCGGGUUGUAAAACUCUGUCCUAGGGGAAAACGGCAUUAUCGCUAAUAUCGGUAGUGUGUGAUGGUACCCUUGAAGAAAGCACCGGCUAACUUCGUGCCAGCAGCCGUGGUAAUACGAAGGGUGCAAGCGUUGUUCGGAUUUAUUGGGCGUAAAGCGCGCGCAGGCGGAUUAGUAAGUCAGGUGUGAAAUCUCGGGGCUCAACUCCGAAACUGCGCCUGAAACUAUUAAUCUAGAGUUAUCUAGGGGGAAGGGGAAUUUCACGUGUAGGGGUAAAAUCCGUAGAGAUGUGAAGGAACACCUGAGGCGAAGGCGCCUUCCUGGGGAUACACUGACGCUGAGGCGCGAAAGCGUGGGGAGCAAACAGGAUUAGAUACCCUGGUAGGAUAG
rnacentral:rRNA from 1 species